AUUGAACGCUGGCGGCAUGCCUUACACAUGCAAGUCGAACGGCAGCGCGGGAGCAAUCCUGGCGGCGAGUGGCGAACGGGUGAGUAAUAUAUCGGAACGUGCCCAGUAGUGGGGGAUAGCCCGGCGAAAGCCGGAUUAAUACCGCAUGAGACCUGAGGGUGAAAGCGGGGGAUCGCAAGACCUCGCGCUAUUGGAGCGGCCGAUAUCAGAUUAGCUAGUUGGUGGGGUAAAGGCCUACCAAGGCAACGAUCUGUAGUUGGUCUGAGAGGACGACCAGCCACACUGGGACUGAGACACGGCCCAGACUCCUACGGGAGGCAGCAGUGGGGAAUUUUGGACAAUGGGCGCAAGCCUGAUCCAGCAAUGCCGCGUGCAGGAAGAAGGCCUCGGUUGUAA
rnacentral:rRNA from 1 species